AGACAAAAAACCCACAAAUUUUUGUAGAGAUAGCAUCUCACUUUGUCACCCAUGCUGGUUUGGAAUUCCUGGCCUCAAGUGAUCCUCCCACCUUGGUCUCACAGAUCUCCAUUCUGACCCCAAUCUUCCUCUCCAGUAAGCACUCCUCCUCCUCUCAAGCAUAGAUCCUUAUAACCAGUCAUACUUCAAUAUGUCUUACGUAAUUCUGCUUUGGUGACAUUUCUUUCACAUUUUCUCACAGUUUCUUCUUUCCAGUCUUUUUGAAUUGGAUCAAUUCACUAAGGCUUAGUUUAAAUCCCACUUCUUUCUCACUAAAGCUUUCCCCAUAACCACUUUCUUUUUUCUCUUAUCUCCUGUAUCACUUGGCGCCUGUACCACGGGACACUAAAUACCCACUGCCUUGUGUGGUGCAUUCUCCCCUUGCACAUGUAGAUCUUACCUACCCAAGACCUUAGGUUACAUGACCGUGGGGCUUCACAGAAGCUUUGUUUUCUUGACAAUACUUACCAUUGCUCCUUGUAUACAAUACAAUCUUGGCUCAGGUAAACAUUUAUUGUCUUUUAUGUACCAAGUACUGAAUUCGGUGUCAUAAGCACAAAUUCCUGAUUCUGUUCCUGGUGAUGAUGGAAGCAAAGAUCUCAAAAGAUCAUUCUUAGAAGUGCUAGACCCUCCCAGAAAUACACAAGGGUGAAAUUCUUUCUGUUAGUAAGAUUGCCAGAUCAGGUUUCUUACUUAGUGUAAUUUAGGGUUGCCAUCUUCAUUAGGUUAUCAGGACUUUAAUCUGCUCCCAAAUAUCAAUGGGUUGAGUAUUUAAAAAUCACUGCUCAUGCAGGGGCAAGUUGUUCAUAGUUUUCUGACUACUAUCCUUGUUUUUAUUUUCCAGUCUCCCCUCCCAUCAUUACAGCCUGCCUGUAGUCCUAUCGGCUUUAAUCAGGUUAGAACACCUCAUCAUGCAAGUGGUAGCAGAUAAUUAUAAUUUCUCUGAGUAUUAACUUACAUCUCAAAGUUUUUCUUUGCAGGAAAUUACCUCUCCACACAGUCUGAGAGUCUGGAAGUCAAGUUGGAUGCGGGAGCGUCGUGCCCCCCUAUAGCAUACAGCAGUCCGUUCCAGGUCGUCACUCCUACGCCACCUCUCCUUUUUGACAUCUGUGCACACAGUGUCCACUUAUUAGUAUGAGGAUCAAAACAUUCUACUGAUUUGAGACAAGAGCUUCCAUCACGACCACCAACUGCAUAAAGUCUGUAAAAAGAAUAAAUGAAAUGAUAAAUAAGACAUUGUGCCAUUAUGCUUAGAACAAAGUGGCUCUUCUUAUGUUAUUUCAUUGAAUUUAAGGUGCCAUCAGUUAUAAAACACACUGUCAAUGUGUGUGUCAUUAAAGAAGAUAUGCUAUGUUUGAAAUGACACAUGUAAGUAUCUUAUAUCACUCUGUAUAAACAUGAAAAGGAAAACAAACUGCACAUGAAGGCACUGACAACUAUUUCACCACUGCCAUCUCUUUGACAAGUCACCAUUGAUUGUAAUAUGCACUGAAAUUCUAGAGGUGUUAAAAUGUGUGUCUUAGAAUAGACAAAAUAUGGUGUAUAAAUAUACCAUGGCUUAUUUUUUUUUUUUUAAUAGUUCAGACUUUAUUAUCAAGGAAGGAAACUAACCUUCUCUGAGCACCUACCAUAGGUUAGGGACUUUAUAUGUACUAAUUUAAUCGUCACAGUGAUAUAAGAAACUGUUUGAAUCCCUGUUUCACAGGUAAAGAAACAAGGGUUCACAGAGAGUAAGAGACUUGCACAGGGUCACCCAGUAAGAAGCAGAAUCGGGACACGUAGUUUUAUUAAUGAACAAACAGUUGGACAGUCAACACAGUCAUGUAGAAUGUACUUGUAAUAGUGAAAUAGGAGAAUAAAAAUAUAGCUUGAAACAAUGGCAUAAAAAGUAACAUUUGUUACAUAUGAACAAUGAUCCUUCAUUAAUUUAAAUUACUGCAGAAAAGGAUAUAGGUUAUCACGUGAACGACCUAAAUGUUACCUAGUAGAUCAAUUUAAAUUCAUUAUCAAUACACUGCACUAAUUUGAAAUAGUCUUUUACUCUGAACCUAAAACGUUUGUAAAAUAUUUUAAAUAUCUGAACAUAGUAUUUCUUGUUAAGCAAAAAUCUUCUUGUAUUUACUAUUCAUUUGGGAAGCUCUCUAUAAAUAUUUUUUCUAUGAGUUUUUUAAAAGAGUAAAUUUACUUUGUUGCUUAUCAAAAACAUUAUACAUUUUGAAUUUACAAAUGUUAGUUAAUACUUAACUGUUUUUAUCAUUUCUCAAGAAAUAAUAUUUUAAUUAUCCCAAAUUUCUGCCAAUUAAAACUCUAGGUAUUUAUAUUUAGGUAAAUCUACAUAUUUAACCACAGAUUUCCUAAUUAAGGUAUGCCACUAUGUCACUGAAACUGUUUCUUAAAUAAUAAGAUGACCAUAUCUUAAACAGCAACAUAUGGUUGUAGCAAUAUCUUGUUCUAAACUUAAACUAUAUUAAUAGUAUGGAAAUUGAAAUUUAUUUGAAACAUCUAUUAAAAUUUAUCUUAAAACUUCUUUUAUCUGUUAAAAACUUUUAUCUAUUAGUAACUUGUUUAUGUUCUAGUUCUUAAUAUUAUUCUUAUCUUCAACUAAUACUUGGUAGAAGAGUUAUCUAAAUAUGGAUCACAGAACAUAAGAAGCCUUCAACAAUUAGGGAGGAUCAGUAAUUUAAAAUAAUUCACACAUGCAUAUGUGUGUGCACAUGUGUGCACACCCACACAUACCCACACACAAUAGGCUUUAAAGCCUCUUACGCUCUUGAACAGUGGACUCGUGGGUCUUAAUUGUAAAGAAUGGUACAGUACAAUGAUUAAGAGCAUGAACUCUGGAACCAGACAAUUCUGGUUCUACCACUUACUAGUUGUGACUAUGGACAAGUUAUUUAACCUCCAUCUAAAUUUCAUCAUCUAUAAACCCUGCCUCAUAGGAUUCUUGAUAAUUAAAUUUAAAGUACUUUGAACACUGCCUAGUACAUGAUAAUCAUGGUGUAAACAUUUACAGAGAAAAAUUAAUUGUCUCUGUGUUCUUGUAGAAAAUAGCACUUACAGGAGAUCUUAAGUGUACAAACAAUGUUUAUAUUCAGCUAAUAUUAAGGGUUAAAAUCGAUUGGUAACACUUCCUAAAUAAUCAUUAUCUCAAGCAAUGAUUUUCAAACUGUGUUCUAAGAAUAGGAUUCUAUGAAGAAAUUGAGGGAGUCUAAAAAAUGGUUCAUUUGAAUUUCAAAUUUUAAAAAUUAUUUUUAAUUUUCAAAAAUAUCACCUUGCUCAAUUAAAUGUCAUGUAAGACUCAGAACUCAUCUCUCUUCCCCAUGAUAGUGUCUAUUAUAAUAAAAAGAGAAAUAUUAUGUCAA